GAUGAAGAACGUAGCGAAAUGCGAUACUUGGUGUGAAUUGCAGAAUCCCGUGAACCAUCAAGUCUUUGAACGCAAGUUGCGCCCGAAGCCAUUAGGCCGAGGGCACGCCUGCCUGGGCGUCACACGUCGUUGCCCCCCCAUCUACUCCUUCGGGAUUGCGGGGGGCCGAUGAUGGCCUCCCGUGCGCCUCGUCGCGCGGUUGGCAUAAAUGCCAAGUCCUCGGCGACGCACGCCACGACAAUCGGUGGUUGCGAAACCUCGGUUGCCCGUCGUGUGCGGUCGUCGCGCAUCGAGGGCUCGAAAAAAUUGUCGGGCUCCGGCUCGGCUUUCAACGCGACCCCAGGUCAGGCGGGGUUACCCGCUGAAUUUAAGCAUAUCAAUAAGCGGAGGA
rnacentral:misc_RNA from 1 species